rnacentral:tRNA from 1 species
ACCCUGGUGGCUCAGAUGGUAAAGAAUCUGCCUGCAAAUGCAGGAGACCCAGGUUCAAUCCCUGGGUCAGGGAA